AUGCCGCCACUGGCGGCUGCGGCGAUGGAGUGCCAGCUGAGCGGACGACUGGGAACCGAGGCGCGAGAUAUGAGCCUCAGCCCGAGCAAAGGGUACUACAGCCGCGUGCGCCUGCACGGCGACCUGGUGGUGAGCUACUGGCUGCGCGCGGUGGGAGGCGCCGUGAGACCCACGCUCCAGCACGAGGAGGCGGCUCCGCGGAGAUUCGACCACACGUUCCCGCUCCUCAAGGGCCUCAACGCCGACCACCACUCGGCCUGCCGCGACGCCAUGCACGAGGUGCUGCUGCGGGCGCGGACGCCGCUCGGCCUCGACGCCGGCAGCUGGGACGACUCGCUGGCCGACCACCUGGCCACGCUGACCGUGGAGGCUGUCCGACGCGAGCGCGUGGCCGGCGACGGCGGCGAGCACCGUGGAGUCCCCCCGCGCUUCGACGUCGACAUGGCUCUCACCAUCGUAGCGGAAUUCGUCUACAGCGAGCCCAAGGCGCUGCUCCUCGCCUGCGACAAGGCUGCUGCGGCAACGACGACGACGGCUCCACCAUGCCGGGCUCGAGAUGCCGAGUGUCGUGUGUGCGUGGAGGCUAAAGAAGACGCCAUGGUGAGGCUGCCGUGCUCGCACUCCUUCCACCGCGGCUGCAUCCUGCCCUGGUUCGACAAGGUGGCCACAUGCCCAAUGUGUGGCCAUGACGUGGCAAAGUACCUUGCUGCGGCCACCAACACCCCAAUUGGAAAGUUCCCUGCAGGUCUAUUCGGACCCUGA
rnacentral:rRNA from 1 species